AAAAAAAAAGUUGGCAAAGAGAAUCUCUGAGGAGGGGGUCAUAUUACUAUCUGGCAGCCAUUUUGUCAGAGAGAGAGAGACAGAGAGAAAGACAGAGAUUGAUUCUUGCAGGCAUUCUCUGAGAACUUGUCAUUGAAUCAUUACUGAAGCAAUGUAUAUUAUUAUAUUGCUUGUGUAUUAGCCAGUUUGAUCAGAGUUUCUAUCCAGGGAGGAUACUCUGGUGGAUCCAGGGGCCCCUUCUUCUGGAAGACCACCAGAAUGUGGCUUGCUGCUGGCUUGUCAUGGAGUCCUUGAGUAACUUGCUCGCAAACACUAAGAUGUGAUUGAGCUAGGGGAGCCCUGGAGACUGGGUUCUGGAAACUGGAAGCCUGUGGUGUUCUUUGAGGUAGUCAACUGGAGAUUUCCUGAGGCCUAACUGAAUGAAACUCACAGGACUAGUGUGCCUACCUUGAGGCCCAAAGGGACAGGCAUUACCCAGAACCCAGCAAUCAGACAGGUUCUGUCCACUCAGCAAAUACCAGGAAACAAAUGAAGCCUUGUCUCCUGCCCUGAUAUCCGACUCAGACCCUUGAGCCGCAGCAGUGGGUAGCUUCCCCAGGAAGCCUCCAGUGGACAAAGACUCUUCUUAAAACAGAAGCUUCAUCAACUUGGAAUGAGCCAAGAGGUCCUGGUUCUGCUUGUACAUCCUCAGAUACUGCAGUGCAAAAGGGGAAACUGAGGUCUAGAGAGGAGGAGUAUUUGUCAGAAUUUGCUGUGGCCUGAAGUGUGACUGCACCGGGGAUCUGUCUCAGCAAAGCCCACGCCUGAGGCCUGUGGUGGAGAAUGGCGGCCGAUGGUUAGGUCUCCUGCUAGGGAGCAUUCUAAAUGAGGAGCCAAAACAAGGAGUCUGUGAGUGGAGUCAUGGACUUUGGCAGGGGGAUGACUGUGAGCAUUAGCUCAACUUAGGACACUACUGAGAAGACGCUUCUCCAUGGCUGCAGACCUCAGCCCAACAUCUGCUUGGCCAGCCAGGCUGAGCGCCCAAGAAACUGCUCCUUAGCCCUGCGGGUACCCACUCCAGAGGGCCACAGCUGCCUUCAGACAAAGACCUAGAAUUCUCAGCUCCUCCUGCACCAUGCCUGCCUGAAUGCUGCUAUGUUCCUGCCUUGAUGAUAAAAUGGACGGAACCUCUGAAGCUGUAAGCCAGCCCCAAUUAAAUGCUGUUCUUAUAAGAGUUGCCUUGGUCAUGGUGUCUGUUCACAGCAGUGAAACCCUAAGACAGGCAGCAUCACACAGAUUUAGUAAGAAAUGGACCUGACUUGGAUCAAAGAAAAAGGAACCAGAACAAGUUCAG